ACAUCAGUAUAACGCCAGGUUUUAUCUGUAUCGUAAGGAAAAAAGCUCUAGCUCUGAAUCCACUGGAAACUUUAUCUCGGACGUAUGCCUAUAGCAUAUAGUCAAUAGGAAUUUGCUGGAAUCCGUUUUACGAGUCGAUAAGUGACCAUUUCCAAGGACAAUGAUGUCUUCUAAAUGGCUUUGUGUUGUCAUGGCAACCGUCGCUCUAUUUGGCAGGGGAGACUGUCUGACUUGUCUCUGUUAUGAUGAUAUAUACCCACUAACACGCGAGGAAUGGCGAGUCCAGAACUGUCCCGUGGAUGUCCAGUGUCCAGCCGGUUCUCAGGUCAUAUGGGAUAUUUGCGCCUGCUGCAAGAGCGAUUGCUCCAAGUUGGAAGGCGAUGAGUGUGGUGGUGAUUGGGCAUGGCCGGUACAUGCGGGGAUGGAUUAGAAUGCUACAUCGAAGAGCCGGAUACUUCCGAGUACAGGCCACCCAUAGGCAACUGCGUCCCGCUGAAGCCCACCGCUGCCACCGCGUGAGGAGGCGAGGAUGAUGCGAAUACAGAAGAGACGGGAGAGAAACGGCAAACGAAUUAAUGAGCCUCGAAUUUAAAUUCAUGCUAUGUUCGAAUGUCGGGCAUAUACAGAUUUAUCACUUUCUUUAAAAAUAUUACAUGCAUUGUAACAAUAGUUUGUCCCAAUAUAUUUUGAGUCUUUCGAUCUCCAGUUCUUUUAAACCCGUUGCAUAAACUUACCAUUGAUAGUAACUUUGCCAUCAAUGGCAACUACCAUGAUAACAGGGCUCAACGGCCAAUCAAAAUCAAGGUUUCCAUGGUAGUUGUCAUUGAUGGCAAAUUAGUUACCACAAAUGGUAAGUUUUAUGCAACGGGGCCCUAGGGCGUUAUCCUGAAAAAGAAUGUUAUUUUUUGUGCCGGUUAGAAUUAGGAUAAGUCAUUGGUUAUAAUGUCGGUGCAAAUCUGCAUAAGCUUGCGUUCAGUUAAAAAGAGACGUCUACGCAAGCACGAAUGAAAAGUGUGUGUUCAGCUCAAUUUGAGUAUCUUGUGUAUUUUGAACAAAUCAGAGUAAAUAUGAAAUGUUCGAAAGCGUUUUCUAUUUCAUUGUGGAUAGAUUAUAUGACGCCAGGGGCGGCGAUCCCGGGGGGGGGGGGGACACGUCCCCCCCCCCCC